rnacentral:rRNA from 1 species
UACGUAGGGGGCUAGCGUUGUCCGGAUUUAUUGGGCGUAAAGAGCGUGUAGGCGGCCAGAUAGGUCUGCUGUGAAAACUCGAGGCUCAACCUCGAGAUGUCGGCGGAAACCAUUUGGCUAGAGUCCGGAAGAGGAAAGUGGAAUUCCUGGUGUAGCGGUGAAAUGCGCAGAUAUCAGGAGGAACACCGGUGGCGAAGGCGGAUCUCUGGGCCGAUACUGACGCUGAGGAGCGAAAGCGUGGGGAGCGAACAGG